UGGGGAAUAUUGGGCAAUGGGCGCAAGCCUGACCCAGCGAUGCCGCGUGUGUGAAGAAGGCCUGCGGGUUGUAAAGCACUUUGGGCGGGGAGGAAGGGUCCGCCGCGAACGGCGGCGGGCCUUGACGUCACCCGCGGAACAAGCGCCGGCUAACUCCGUGCCAGCAGCCGCGGUAAUACGGAGGGCGCGAGCGUUAAUCGGAAUCACUGGGCGUAAAGCGUGCGUAGGCGGUGCGCUAAGCCCCGCGUGAAAUCCCCGGGCUCAACCUGGGAACUGCGCGGGGGACUGGCGCGCUGGAGUGCGGCAGAGGGCGGCGGAAUUCCCGGUGUAGCAGUGAAAUGCGUAGAGAUCGGGAGGAACACCAGUGGCGAAGGCGGCCGCCUGGGCCUGCACUGACGCUGAGGCACGAAAGCGUGGGGAGCAAACA
rnacentral:rRNA from 1 species